UCUUGUUCAGAUUAGAAACGGUUGUUAUGGACGACGAACGUUUCAAGAUCACUGGAAAAACCUGCUUGGAUGAUAUUUUAAAAGCAUGACACAACUAAAAGAAUGAAUAUUAUUAAUAAUCUCUUGACAAUUACAGAUUUCCAUGGCCGGCGUCCUGGCAUAGGGGUAGUGCAUCUUCCUCAUGAUCAGGCCGUCCCUGGUUCGAGUCCCGGUUCGGGCAUGGUUGCUUGGUGCAAGCGAAUGUGCGUGAGUUUAAUGAGCUAGAAGUCAGAUCUCUGCCCUCAGGUGCUCAGGUGUCCUUACCCUCAGAAGCUACUGCACUCCCUUUCCGUGGUAACACGACAUCAACAGCUAUUACAAAUUCAAAGAUAAAAUUCUGGUUGUAUGCUUAUAUUUGAUUACAAAAAAAAUUAUAUAUGAAUAUCACUUGUUUUAUGUUCGAAUGAAUGUAUGCUUAUGCAUAAACUAAUGAGAAGUACUAACAAUUUUGCUGAAAUAAUUUCAUAUAUUUGUAAUUUAAUAAUAUAUAAGUGCUCGCCCCUUUUUAGCAAUAAAGAAAUCAGUUUUUACAUAUCUGUAAUUUAAUAAUAUAUAACUUCUCAUCUUUUUUUAAUGUUAGAAACCAUCUAAAUUUGAGACUAAACCAGUAGAAGUGCUCCAAGCUUUUCUCGCAUAUUCUUUAUUAUCACCAUGCGCAUAAAAUUGUGGAUCAUGGGCAAAUCCAUGAGUGUCACCAGUGCUCCGACGUUUAUUUUCACACAUGAGAUCUGUGUGUUUUAGAGUACAGUAUGAUACUGAUAUACAAUAUACAUUCAUGCCAAAAAACGAAAGAUCAUUCUUUGGCGAGAAUGUAGAGUUUUUUACUGAAUCUAGUCUGAGAUUCUUGGCGAUUAUGGGGGGAUUAAUUACUUGCAAUAAAUACACAAGACAAACAAUUAAUACACAAGUAUCAGAAAAUUAGUGUAUUUGGAGGACUUUUUUUCUGAUAGACUGGAAUCAGAAUGGGACAUACUGCUAAAAUUAUAGCCAUGAGAUCCAAUAGACAAAUUUCUUAUAUAAAAGUCAUUGCGUUUACAUGUAUACAGAAGAACAUAUCGACAAACAGUCAAUUGUUUGACAAAUUUAGUUCGAAAUUUGAUAAAAAACCACAUUUGAGAUGCUAAAAAUAUACAUCAAAUUUUACUUUUCUAGUUUUGUUGUUAUAUUGUUCACUAGUACUUGGACAUAACAUAACGCCAUCCUGUGCCUCGGUGCCUAUAACACUAAGUUAUCUAAUCAGUUGGAUGAGCACAAGAUGGAAGGAAGAAAAAAAAGGGGAGAUAAAUAAAAGAAAAUAUAGAAUAAUAAUAGUCCGUCUGGGUCCUGUGUUUUGAUUUACUUCGUGAGAACUGCACUUUUGAAUGAAUAAUUUAAUUGAUUUUGACAAGUGGCAUUUUGGUCUCAGAUAUUGUGUAUUACUUGUACUUGUGCUAGUACUUGGACAGCUGGACAGACAGACUUCUCCAGAAUAAAUGUCAUCCAAAAUUUGUCGGAUAUCUACAAAUGGUGUACAGAUCACAUAUCAAAUUUCAUAAGUUUAUUUCAAAGAUUUUUGAAUUAUCAUGUGCGCAGACAGAUCACCAUAAUUCUUCAAAUGUAUUUUUCGCGGAGAUUUAUUAAAAUCUAGAGUUUAAAUUUUUUGACAAUUACAAUACUUUUUCAAUGUAUAUUUCGUAUACAAAAAAGUUAAAAAGAGUUCAUCGUAUAUAUUUGUUUCUGAGAGCUAAAGCAUGUUACAUUAUUUAUUUUCUCACCAUAACUUUCUAAUAUAAUUCAGAAAAUAUGUUACAAUUGUGUUUUAGGGUGUUAUUACAUAGUUAAUUCAUUUCAUUCUUUUAUGUCCAGCAAUUAUGUAUAUUUAAGAAAAGAAUUCAAUUUGUCUUCAAUAAUUUCUUUGAAUUAUUUGUCAAAUUCAAUAACUUCUUUUUAACAUAGCAUAUUUUCAAAAAUAUCCCCACUCCCACUUUCGGCUCCAACUAAAGUAUCUGCACUUUUAAUUGAAUGAAUACAGCGAGCUAUUGAUUUUUCCAGUUGAUGUCUAAUUACCGUAAUUUUAAUUAUCCGGCAUCGAUCUAGCCAAACCAAUAACACCGAGAAGCCCCAAACGUUGUUUGAUUUAAAGCCCCAAACGUUUGGAUUUUCCCGAUUUUUCUACGAUUUCAGUUUUCAAUCGAGAAUGUUCGCGGCCCUUUUCAAGUUGUUUUAUGGAUUAGAUAACCUAUAAUAGUACCAUAGAUUAUUUUAAUUUACAAUACAUAUAAUGACUUCUGUAAUAAAUUUUAUUUUGCAUUAGCCACCUAUGGAAAACAAUCGAUGCGUCAGAAUUACAAUUUAUACAAAAUUCCAAAUGAAUUUUUUGCAGACAAGUCAGCCGUAAUGGCUACUUCAUCAGAGCAUUUUUUUUGUAAAAUUUUACUAGUUGUGUACUAGUACUAUACUAUACUAUUAUAGUACUAGUAUAGUAUACACAAAUUCAGACGCGUGUAUACUUUCCUUUAUUAAUAGUAAAAAUAGAAAUUAUUGUCUAAAACUGAACUGUACUAAAUUUGAAUGUUGUUUAUUACACAAUUCAAUUUCUUUUAGUCUUCAUAUGCAGGCCGCGGUGGCCUGGUGGUAAGGUCUCGGCUUCGGAACCGGAGGGUUUCAGAUUUGAGACUCGAUUCCACCGAACCAUCGUGUAAGCGGGUCUUGUGCACGUUAAACAUCCGGGCCCAAGGUCCUCCCCCUGGUGUGGUGUGGAGAGCGGGUGCCAGUUCAGGUGUCGUCCUCGUCAUCUGACCACCGUUCAAAAUGACGAGGUCUGUCCCAAAAUAGCCCUAGGGUUGUUUUAAAACGGGGCGUUAAUAUAACUAAACUAAACUAACUUUAGUCUUCAUAUAUAACUAUUAAUACAUUGUGCGAUAUUAAUCAUAAUAUUUUUCUUCAAGAACAUUUGUUUUUCUUUCCAGAUACAAGCAUUCCAUGUUCGAUCAAACACUUCCAUUUCAAAAUGUCCCUAUUUUCAAAAACAUCACCUAACAUGUUCCUUCCAGUCAGUUUAUUGACCCCAUUUAUAAGUGUCUUCAUGCCUUCAAUCAAAUUUAUAAAUUGUACUAAAUUUCAUGCUUUAUUUAAAAUCCACUUAAAUAAAGUUUCUAUUUUAACUGUU